rnacentral:rRNA from 1 species
CCUACGGGUGGCAGCAGUGAGGAAUAUUGGUCAAUGGACGAGAGUCUGAACCAGCCAAGUAGCGUGAAGGAUGACUGCCCUAUGGGUUGUAAACUUCUUUUAUAUGGGAAUAAAAUGUUCCACGUGUGGGAUUUUGUAUGUACCAUAUGAAUAAGGAUCGGCUAACUCCGUGCCAGCAGCCGCGGUAAUACGGGGGAUCAGAGCGUUAUCCGGAUUUAUUGGGUGUAUAGGGAGCGUAGGUGGGUUGGUAAGUCAGUUGUGAACGUUUGCGGCUCAACCGUAAAAUUGCAGUUGAAACUGGCAGUCUUGAGUACAGUAGAGGUGGGCGGAAUUCGUGGUGUAGCGGUGAAAUGCGUAGAUAUCACGAAGAACUCCGAUUGCGAAGGCAGUUCACUGGACUGCAACUGACACUGAGGCUCGAAAGUGUGGGUAUCAAACAGGAUUAGAUACCCUAGUAGUC